UACGUAGGGGGCUAGCGUUGUCCGGAUUUAUUGGGCGUAAAGCGCGUGUAGGCGGUUCGGUAAGUCCGCUGUGAAAGUCGGGGGCUCAACCCUCGGAUGCCGGUGGAUACUGUCGGACUAGAGUACGGAAGAGGCGAGUGGAAUUCCUGGUGUAGCGGUGAAAUGCGCAGAUAUCAGGAGGAACACCGAUUGCGAAGGCAGCUCGCUGGGACGUUACUGACGCUGAGACGCGAAAGCGUGGGGAGCAAACAGG
rnacentral:rRNA from 1 species